CAGAGAGGGAGCUACCAUCCGGCUGACUAGCCGGGAGAAACAGAGCACAGAAGGAGCUGGGCAAGGAAGAAGAGGCAUUUCUCUGAAGGAGAGAAAGAGAGAAUGCAAGCCCCACCCACAGGACCAGGUUGAAACCUCUAGACUUGAAAGCUCUCCAAGACGAUGACAGAUCUGCAUGACUAACUGGAGAGUCUCGUCUCGCAAUAAUGUGCCUUUUGUUGCUGAACCCUUUCCAGUCUUAGCUGCAUUGCCAGGACAGAAUAAAAUAGGACAUUCCGCAUUUCA